AGAAAAAUAUUGUAGAGUAGAUUUAAUUGCAAUCUGACAUUUGGAAAGGAUUCUUGAAAAUACUUGAAAAAAGGGUUCUGGUGUCAAUAUAUAUAAAGUAUGUAACUUGUUUUGAUUAUUACAAGAAUGUAGUAUUAGUGUAUUUAUCACAAUUAGUCAUCUGAAAAGGAAAAAAAGUUAAUAUUUAGGGAGCUAUUUGUUGGUCCACCCCUCAAGAUUUGUUGGUGAAUCAGAGGAUAGUCUCUUGCAUUUGGUAUAUAAAUCCUAGAAAUUACACAACAUAUGAGCUCACUGAGCGACGUUUAUAAUCAACCCUCACUAGAGAAUUUGAAGCUAAUGGGUAUAUCUUAUACUAUGGGCAUAGAAGAUUUCUUUGAGGAGGAUGUAAGAGAUCAGAGUUAAGAAUUUUAGAAGAAUCUCUAUGAAGAAAAGCAGUCGAGCUUGGAUAUGAGCUAGAUUGUCUGUAUCCAGAAUGUCUUCGAUUCACUCGGUGAGAGUUCAGUCGAGCUUGGAUAUGAGCCAUCUAAAAUGCGUGAUAUUUGUUGACUCAUGAUGCUUCUAAUUGCAGGCUGAAAUACGUAGAUCUGUUGCUGAAAGUGGUGGUAUAGUUGCAAUUCUUUGUUGUAUUGGUAUAGAUCAGUACUAUUACUAGGACAUUUGCACUGAUUUGCUGAAACUGGAAUCUCCAACUUCUUGUUUGAUGCUGCACUGCCCUCGUCAUAUUUUUCCAUUCUAUCAAUCUUUUGUCCUGCAAUCAUCCCAAUCAGUAAUAUGUAUGUAUGUUGCUACCUUGGAAUGCUUCUUUCUACUGGAUGGAUGGGUAGCAACUCUAUCUAUCUACAACAAUUUGGUCAGAGAGUCUACCUAUCUACGCUUUAAAUAAAGAUCGAGGAUGGAUCCAUAGAGAAAUAUAUAUAUAUAUAUAUAUAUAUAUAUAUAUAUAUAUUCCUGGGUAAUGUACAAACUUUAAUAUUUGGGGGGAAAAAUAGUAGUAAACAUAUGAAAAACCCUCAACUUUAGAGAGGAAGGGGGGAAAACUAUCAGGGGAAGAAAGCAUAUUAAAAUAAAGAAAUUAGGUAUGGGUAAAGAAGAUAAGAAAGGUGAGUGAUAGACGAAUAGAUAUUGAAUCAACCAACAAAAUAUAGGAUGAAAUUAUUAAUGGCAUUACCUUUUAUCUUUCUUUCUUUGUGUGUGUGUGUGUGUGAUGUGUCACGGGUACUAUAUUAAACUCCUAGUAGUAUAUACUAAUCAACACCCGGCCCACCCACCUGCAUUCAUCACUUUUCUUUUAUGUAAUGCUUCGACCAUUAUGAAUUAUGAACCCAUUAAUUAUUGAUUUCUUUUUCCUUUUUCUUCUUUUUAUUGAGAAGUCGAUCCAGGGAAAUUAAGGACAUGGAAAAUUGGCAAUCCAGCAGUCUUCUUUGGAGAAAGAUAAAAGCAGGGAAGGGAGAAGAGAGGGGGGCGGGUCCCAGAAUAUAUCGUCGGCGUGGCAAAGCAGACAUUCUCGUGGAUAUCAUCUUUGCUUUUGCUCAUCUCUUCCCUUCAGGCUUCAUGCACAGGUAGUCACAAUCACAGUCACACUGAUCAUUUAUACUCCUAUACUACCUAAGUUCAUAUAAUCAUAUACUACCCAAAGUCUACAUAGUCAUAUAUACCCGAAUCUAUUUAAUCCUAUACUACCUAAGUCCUACUAUUCAAGGGCGGAGCCAGGAAUUAAUUUUCUACUGGGCUACCAAGUAUCAAUUAUAUCGACAAAAAAUUGUCCCACAAAGAUUAAUCACAAAUUCAAAAUCAUAUAUAGUAGUAAGGUUCAAAGGUACAUAACAUGCAAGGAAAAAGGGAAACAAAACACACUAUUUAAGAUUGCUUUUGGUGAAAAAUACAAGCCAAAGAGGGUUCUUCCCAUGAAGAAGUUACUAAUGAUCAAUGGAGAACCAAAAACAACAAUAUAAAACCAUAUUAUAAUUCUCAAAGCAGAAACAAAAAUAACAGCAGCAACUACUACUUUAAAACAUAUAACAAUCAGCAAGAUAGCCAGACUUUAGGAGCAUAGUACUAAAAGUUCAGCAAAAUUCAAGUAGAAAAAAAAGAAUCAACAUUCAAAACUCUCGCUAAAAUUUGUAGACAGAAGUGGCACCAAUUUUUCAUGCUUUAAUUGUGCGUAAAUGUAUAUCACCUUUAGAAAUGUCUAAAUUCAGCUUAAAAACAACAGAAGUAUCUAAUAUCACUUUCACAAACACUAACUGAGCAAGUAGUAGCUUCUAAUGCCACCUGCAUAAUGAUUUACAGGAAGGGUAAUUGCUAGUGUAGAUUAGAUCUCCCCAAGUAAAUCUGUUUAUCACUACUACAGGAUCCAAUAAUAGGUUUAGUAGGGUGGAAGGCGCAUUAGAUUACAUCUAACUCUAGUUAGUUUACAGCUAACUUUGAGCAUAUAUAACUCCUCUAUUUCAGUCCUAAUACACUGCCCAAAACAGUACCCACAUUUGCCUUAACAUGUUAAAAACUCAUCUAUUAGCUUUAGCCUAAAAAAUGCACUUUGUUUAAGUUUAACAUGCUAAAACACUUUAAUUGUUAUCACAUAUGUUAAAUAAAUCAAGCCCAUGCUUUAAUUUGUUAUGAUAUUCAGUUUUUAGCCAAAACAGUUCUUUUAGAACUUUUAUCAAACAGUUGGUAGGCAAAGUUUUAGGUUACCAAUUUCACAGCCAUUGGUUUACAUCAUAAACCCAUAUCACCAUCCUUAUGUCUCCUCAGCCCAGCCUAAACUCCUCUAGCUAUAUAUCAAACAAUAGCAGUCUAAAACAUUAACCAAUUUUCUGCUCAUACAGUAUAAAAUCACAUGCUAACCAAUUUUCUGCUCAUACAGUAUAAAAUCUAAAUUACCUGAAGUUGAAUUUUGUUCUUCAACUUAGUCCAAGAUGUGCAGUGUGCCCUAGAUUGUUCUUCAAUCUGCUCCUUGCUCGGUAGUACCUCUUGCAAGAAAUGGUCCUUGCUCGGUAGUUCCC
rnacentral:lncRNA from 1 species